UGCUUUCAGGUUUCAUGUAAUUCAAGAUAUGGUACUCGCUUCUCAAAUAUUUGCAUAUUGUUGAAUUACAUGAAACCUGAAAGCA